rnacentral:lncRNA from 1 species
GGGCGGGAGCGGGGGGGGGCAGCCCCUCGGCGGCCGGGCCGGAAAGCUGGAGCAACCGAGUCCCUAAGGACAGGGCAGGUUGCCCACGCGAAAGCACGGAGAGUUUGAACCCCGGGAAGACAUCUUCUGCCCUCUGCCCCUGAGCCGGGCAUUCCCAGCACCGGGCUUUCCGCGGGGCUUUCGACGAGCCCUGGGCACCAGACUGAGCUCCGCCGAGGGCGGUGAGGCGCCGAGCUACCCCCGAGGAGUCGCGCUGGGAGACACAUGGAUGCAAAAGCAGGACGUGGGUAAAUGAGAGAAGAUAAGGUAUUGCUCCUGCAAUCAGAACAUCCUGUCUUCAAAAUGGGUCUUCAUUCAUUUCCACCAGAGAGGUUUUUAAUUUGACUGGCAGCUAGCCUAUCUGUGCAGCUGAUAAGAGAAGAAAAAAAUCACCCUCCAGUCCUUUCAUCGCCACUGCCUUUCCUCUGGUUCUCAUCACAGAAGUGCACAAAGAAUUAAAGAGCUCUCAAUACAUUUGUAGCCAGAUAUUUACCCUAAGUGAGGUAGAUUAUAUUUGCUUAUUGUACCCAUUGCCAUGCUGGCCCAUGCUCAAGACUGUC